rnacentral:rRNA from 1 species
CUCAACUGGGAGAGGCCGUUCGAAACUCUUUGGCUAGAGGACGGUAGAGGCGAGUGGAAUUCCCGGUGUAGUGGUGAAAUGCGUAGAUAUCGGGAGGAACACCAGAGGCGAAAGCGGCUCGCUGGGCCGGUUCUGACGCUGAGACGCGAAAGCUAGGGGAGAGAACGGGAUUAGAAACCCCGGUAUUCCUAGCCGUAAACGAUGUCAACUAGGUGUAGGGGGUGUAGAAGCCUUCUGCGCUGCCGCCAACGCAGUAAGUUGACCGCCUGGGGAGUACGGCCGCAAGGCUAAAACUCAAAGGAAUUGACGGGGGCCCGCACAAGCAGCGGAGCGUGUGGUUUAAUUCNAGGCAACGCGAAGAACCUUACCAGGGUUUGACAUGCUGGNGGUAGGGAGGUGAAAGCCGACUGACCCUUCCGGGAGCC